rnacentral:lncRNA from 1 species
UUCUUUCAUGCCAAUAAGCAUCAAUACUGGAACUUUUCCUGGAACCCCAGCAGUGAGGCUCAUCGGUGACUGCCAUUUCCUUCACAGAUUAUGCCAACUUCUGCUUUUCUGUUUUUUCUUUCGGCGGCGAACUCAAGUACCUCGUUUUGCUGGAGGUACACAGCGAAAUCCCACUGAUACAAAUGUGCCAAAACCUCAGUCUGGUGCUCCUGGCAAGGUGGAGGAGAUCAACUCUGUUUCUUCAAAGCCAGCACCAGCUGCGGUUCGGUCGGAUGAAGGUCAGGCAGUUCGAGGUAGUCAGGUAGUGCCUGGAGCUAAAGCAGUCGAAGAGGGACCUGCUGGCAGGCACAGAGUAGGCAGUGGCAAUGCUGGCCAAGGAUACAGUUCUGAGGAGGUAGAAACUGUUGCUCUUUAAUUUCUUCUAGUCUUCACAUGUUACGAAGAAUCUUCAUUAGACUUUUGGUUUCUUAACUGGCUAAAUUGCUUUACUUUCAAGUCAAUUGCUCAGUGUUUGGUCAUCAGAAAGGUUUUGAUAGUUCUCUCGGUUAAGGAAACAAUCAUUCAAUCAGCAGUGGUUCUCUAGAUUAAGAUAAAGGCUCAUUCUUUGGCGCAAUGCAGGUGAAGGUCCUUUUCCUCAUUCUCAUGGAUCUGUGUCGGCGAACAGCAGCUCUGGUACACCCAUUGCCGGUUUCUCAAGUAGGAAGCAGCAAUAUCCAGGUGCGGUUGCAUUAUAUUGAUGGCAAUUAUACUGUAUUGCCAGAGGUUGUAGAAGCAUCUCUUGGCCCGCAUAUGCAGGUAUCUAUGCUUAUGAUUUACUCCUGUAAAUGAACCUUUGGUUGUUUGGAAGUUGCUUUCUUUUCUUUCUUUUUUCUUUUUUGACCGGGAUAACCCUCCACUUUUCCUUCUGUAUUAUUUUUUGGACAAGCAACUGUUUUGUUAACUUUAUGUAACAUUUUGUUGUGGAAUCCACAGAACAUGCCACGGCCCAGAGGUGCAGAUGCUGCUGGUCUGUUACUCCGAGAGUUAGAACUACACCCUCCAUCUGAAGAGUGGCACAGGCGGAAUAUGUUUGGCGGACCCUGGUCUGAUCCAGAGGAUAUUGGUUCAGAGGAUACUUCUAAGCUUAACUCCACAGAUUCACUUGAUUUUAGCUCACUGGAAAAUUGUGAUGUUUAUUACGGAGCUCAUGGCCUUUGGCCUAGGAAGCGCAGACUGUCUGAAAGAGAUGCAGCUGUUGGCUUGAACACCUCUGCAGGCCUGGGAGCAUAUCUUGGCAUAAUGGGUUCUCGAAGAGAUGUUGUUACUGCAGUGUGGAAGACUGGUCUUGAAGGCGUUUGGUACAAGGUCACUCCAUUUUUCUUCUUCCUCUCUUAUUUGAAUAUUUUUUUGUUUGGAUCUUGUCAGUCAUUUUUAUUUUUGUUAUUCAGCCAUCUUUUCUCUAGGAUUACUGAAUUAAAAAGGAAAAUCCAUUUUUAUGUUAUUGGUAAGUUUGUGUCAUGUAUCUAGAAGAAGGUACUCAACAUAAUUAAGCCUUGAAGUUAAUUUAGUGGUUGCAAGCUAGUGAAUUAUAUUCCCCUGUUAUCCCCUAUACACUGCUGCAUCCACCACAAGAUGCUUAAAACCCAAUUCCCUUAAUACCUACGUAGUUUUAGUCUGGUCCUGUACCAGUACACCCAAGAGUUCUCACAGCACACGGAUAAUCCCAUGAAGGGAUUCCUUGAGUUAUGGAUCUCUUUCCUUGGUAACCAUGAGGUGGAAGGGACGUAGUUGGCUGUAAAUGCAUAAUGCAAUUGAAUUUUUGGCCCGGUGUGUUUUUGUGAUUCACAAGGAAAUCAACGAUCAUCCCUCAUGCAUAAUCCAUUAAACACUCUAAUUUGGAUAUUACUUAAGAGUUUAUGGUAUUAAUGAUAUCACUGGAGAUAUAUAAUGGUGUUGGGUUGAUGUUAGGAGCUGAAAACAUGCCCAAAGAUACAUGCUCCUUGAGCUCUACUUCCCCUACUCACAUAAGAGGAGGAUCAACCAUGAUUACUCACGGAUCCGACUCUAUGUGAGUGGAGCUGUUCUCUGGGAGUGCUGAAUUAUAUUUCCUUGGACACGAGGAUGAAUGGUCAAGAGGUGAUUUACUAGGUUUUGGUUCUCGUGGUUCAUAAUAUGGAAAUGGUCCGACAUUAUUUUCAAUGUAAUUGUGGUGCUAGGGAAUGAAACAUGUGAACUGCUUUGUUUAUGAUAAGAUAUCUUUCUCUUGCAUAAUAUGUUUCCAUCAGAGAUAAGAAUCUGCAAAGGAAUAACCUCAAUCAUAAAUUUUCUCUCUCUUGACAUAUAACCAUUCAUAUGUUUAUUUCAGUUGCAAAUCCUCUGCCCUCUCUGCAUGCGUGGAUCUGCCUGUAAUCUAUUAUACUUAUCUAACAUUAUUGCUAUUAAUGCAGUGCAUAAGAUGUUUGCGGCAGACUUCGGCUUUGGCCUCCCCUUGUGCUGCAAAUCCACCAGAUCAAAAUGAAAGAGAGGCUUGGUGGAUCAGCCGUUGGGCUUAUGGCUGUCCGAUGUGUGGGGGGACAUGGGUUCGAGUUGUAUAGACGAGACUGCAAUCACAAAUGUUAAUUAGAUGCAGCUUUCCACUUUCAUGACAAUCAAUUCAAGGUGGUGCAUGCAUGACUGCAAUGUUAAUUAGCCGCGGCUUUCCACUUUCAUGACAAUCAAUUCAAGGCAAGCGCAUGCAGUAGCUGAUGUUGAAGAAAGCAGCACUCUUUGAUGGUAGUAUAUUAUAUGUUCCUUUUUGUAGUUGCUGGUUGGAGCUUGGAAGUAAAGAGGGGCCGUUAGCCUUGCAGAAGUGGAAAUUCAUCCGUUCAUCGUAUGCAUCAGCUGUCUGGUGUUUAUGUAACAGCGUUUAAGUUCCUCAGCUCGACAGCAACAGUUUUGGAAGGAAGGCUUGUGUUUUGGAAAAUAUUCAGGAGAGCUCCAUUAGUGAAGGUUCCCAGCAUUUCACAUAUAACAUUUGCUUUUCCUUUUAAUGGAAGUGACAUUACCUGUACAUUAUAGAUACGAGAAAUUGACAAGGAUAGCAGGUGUGAAUGUAAUAGAUCCAUGUCUGUUUGAGACAACAUUAAUCAUUUAUUACUAUGAUGCCCUGGUUUUUCAAGUUGCAGCAUCCAAUAAAAAAUGUCCAAUCUUGUUAACCCAUCAAAAAGAUUCACAUCCUGUCUCUCUGCAAAAUUUGAGCUUGUUAUUUUCAUCUAACCAUCAAAUGUUUCUUUGGUCGAGCACGCGACAUGUUGUAGAACAAGAAAUCAGAGCACACUUGGUUGGAUCCACCCUUUUCACCCGGUGGGUAUUUAAUAACUUGUGUUUUUUUUUUUUCCUGAAACUAUUAUUUAUCCUACUAUAUUAUAACAAAAAUAAUCUAUUGUAAAAUUAGAACCAAUCUAAUUUCGGAAGUUUGUUUGAGACAUCUCGUGCAAAUCAAAAUUAAAUAAUUUAUAAGAUUUAAUUUCCAACCUAUUGAAAUAUUUAAUUAAAAAAAAUAAUUAAAAAAUAAAUUAGAGAAUAAUUUUGGAUUUAUUAUAACAAAUGUUAAAUGAUAUGAAAAAAUCACUGUAAAUUAAAAAAUCUUUAUUAUAAAUUGUAAUAAUAGUUUUAUUUUUUUAUUUUAUUUUUUCUUGAGAUAUUUGUUUGUGUUUUUUUUCUUUUCUCUCUUUAUACAUAUACAUAGAUUAGAUAUUCACUAGUUACAUGCCCCGCGCGAUGCCGCGGGUCAAUUAUUUUUUGCAUUGAAAAAAAGCCAAGAUCUAAAAAUUUUAGGUUUUUUUACAAAGUUAUACUCAAAAGUCUUAUGUUUGGUUGCAACGCCUGACCCAAGAGUAAUAUUAAACUUGAGUUAACACUUAGCAUAAAAGUGUCUGGACUGCAAUACUAGACCCAAUAACAUUGGACGUGAGUCUGGCUGCAAUGUCGUGUUAUAAAGUGUGAUAAUUAAAUAAAUUAGUUAAAAAGAAAAAAAAAACAAAGAAAAAAAAACCAAUAGGAAGAAAAAAAACUAAUGAAGACAGAAAAAAAAAUGAAAAAAACUAAUGAAGAAAAAAAAAUUUUUGUUAAAAGAAAAAAAAAACAAAGAAAGAAGCAGAAGCAAAAAAAAUCCCAAAACACAUAAAAAAAAACUAAAAAUAAUAAUACAACUAAAAAAACCUAAAGAAUUAAUUUUAAAGAAGCCAAUAUUUUACUAUAGAUUGCAGUAUACAGUCCAGUAAAAUACUUACUCCUUUUAGCUAUUGUUAUUAUAAUUAACUUAUUGCAAGACUUCCAAGAAUAGUCUGUAACACGUGUGCACCAUAGCUUUGAUUUUGUAUGAAAUGGAUUUUUCUCCACGGAAUAAUCAUGAUGGGUGGGCUUUAUUAUCUAUAGUUGUUUCUCGUCAAAACUCUAAGAUGAUUAUUAGGUCUAGUAUUUUUUUUAAGUAUUGUGAUAUAAAAUAUAUUUUUUAAAUAAUUUUUUAUUUAAAAUAUAUUUAAAUAUUUUUAUAAAUUUUUUAUUAUUUUACAUUAACACAUUAAAAUCAUAAAAAACAAUAAAAAAUUAUUAAUUUGAUAUUUGUUUAAAAAAUAAUAUACUUUUACCAUACAUGUAAAAGCAAAAUCUAAUGCACUCCUUAAAUAUUUAGGGAUGUUAAGGAGAAUAGUAGAUAUUAUUUUUUAAAAUGAUUUUUAUUGAGAAAUAUAAUAAAAUAAUUAUUUUUUGAUAUUAACACAUUAAAACGAUCUAAAUACAAAAACAAAAUAAUUUUAAGUAGAAAACAAUUUAGCCAACCAUUCUUGAGUUUAUCUUUGAAAAAUUCAAUGCCUGUAAUUAUAUAAGUUUCAAAUCAAGUGUCUUUACUUUUGUGUUUUUGUGUAUCUAUAUCUCUAUUUUUUAAUAUAUAUAUAUAUAUAUAUAUAUUAACUUUUUUUAUCAAUUUUUAUUUUUUAAAUUGGAACCGUCCAAACUAUAUUUUAAAAUAAACGCAGCCAAUAAUCUUGUAACUUCUAUUGCUUGAUGAAUCAAACUACAUAUAAUCAUAUACUUAUUUAUCCAAAUUAAAACAAUAGAAGUGUUUUCAUCAAAAUCAAUACCAUAAAAAACCUUUCAUGUUUUUUAAAAAUAUUUUUUAUUUAAAAGUAUAUAUAUAUUUUUUUAACAUUAACACAUCAAAAUUAUCAGAAAAAUAUAAAAAAAUUAAUUUAAUAUUUUUUUAAUCCAACCAUAGUUUUUUAAAACGCAAUCAAGUAAAAUUUCAAACGCAAUAUCAAUCACAAAUCAACAAUGAUACUAUGUAAACAGACCUAGAUAAAUAACCCAAUUAUAAGAGGCUGAAACAAUUGGCAAAUUACUUAGCUAAUGGCCCGUUACCUAUAAAGCCAAAUAAGACCCAUCAUUCAACACUAAAUGCUCCGACAAGUCAUUCAUUUUGGGCUACCAAGUGGACUAUAAAUCGAGUUGUUUAUGAGCCGGGAUUGACCAAACCAGGCCCAACUUAACGAUUAUUGAUUUACUUGUACCCACCAAGAGCAUGUUCUUAUUACCUGAAGUGAAGUUGAAUUGUUUAUAAAUAAAUAAUUGUGAAUGUUUAUUAUAUAAACAUGUUUUAUUUUAAAAUAAUCAUAUUUAAAUUUUGAUAAUUAUUAUUAAAUUAAUUAAUUUGCUUUGUGAAUUAUAUAAAAUAGUUUUAAACUAGAUUUAAGUAAAAAUUAGGAAAAAGAUUGAAUUAUCUUUCAAAAUUUAAUAAAACAUAGUUAGGAUAAAUAUAUAUAACUCUUAAAAAUAAUAAUUACAAGAAAUUCCUCACUUGAUGUUAUAUUAUUAAAAAUUAUUAUUUUUAACAAUUAUUUUCAAUUAUAUAUGAUGAUGUGUAUAAAUUAACAUUACACAUAUGAAUAAAAGUUUUAAGAAUUAUUUUUUAAUAAAUUUGUCUUUUUAAUACCAUCAUUAUCAUUGUCACUAUUUUUCCUAAAUAGUAAAAAACAAUGAAAUUCAAUAAACAAAAAUAACAUGUAAAAAUCAAUUAAGGUUUCAGUUUAAUAAUUUGAUGAAUUUUUUAUGUGAUUUUUAUUUUUAUAUUUUAUUACUUCAUUUUUAAUUAGCUUGAUUUUAAGUUUUUCUAGGGUUGUGAUGGUAAAAAUAAAGUUCCAAUAUAGUGUUAUAUAAUAUAAGGGUGAUUUAAGUAGUUGAUUUUAUGAAUAAAACUAUAAUAAAAAAAUAAAAAAUAUCUUAUAUUUUAGGAUUCAUUUUUUUAAAAAAACAUACUUUUUAGAAAAUUAAUAUUUUUAAAGAAUUUUACUAAUAUUAAUAUUUUCUUAAGGAUAUAAUAUUUAAUAAAUUUUUUUAAAAUAAUCAUGCUUUUAUACAUAAUUAUAAAUUGAUUUUAUGAUUUAAGAAGUAUCUAAGUUUUAACUCAGAUAUAAAUAUAGAUUUUUCUUGAUAUUAGUGAGAUGCAAAACACAAUAUUUCAUAUUGAAUGUGAUUCGAACAUCUAUUUUUGUAAAACAAAAAAAAAAAAAUGAAAAGUAAGUAAACUAGAUCAUAUCAUUUUUUCCUCCAUAAAAAAAAUGUUUUUUUUAUAUAAUUCAUUGUUCGUUCACGAGUCUACAAGAAACGUAAAACAAAAUAGAUUAACAUGAUUCAAGAGUUGAUAUCAUUGAAGGAAAUAUUCAUUGAGUUCUAUUUAAGUUAGGCUGCUUUGACUAUUUCUUGAUGGAUUUUUAUUUAUUAGUCAAACUUGUUGAAGCUAAACCAAUGACUUUUGUAAGCUUUAUUCAUAUCACUCUUUGUUUGCUUCUUAUGAUGGGCAAGUGCAAUGCACUAAUCUCCUCUUAUAUCUUUAUCCGCAUGAUGGAUCAAUAUUUUUUGGCAUCAUGAAAAACUAUUUUUCAAGCUUAAGUCCUUGUUUAAAAGAUCUAAAAACAAGAUAGUAACCUAUUAAUAUGUGGGAAGGGCUUGCUUUCAUAUCCAACAUCCAUAAGCUUGGUAGAAUGUUAGACUCAAAUGACAUAGCUCUAACUCGCUUCCAGACCCCACAUUCCUGGGUAUGGCUACAAGCCAAGCCAAAAUAGGCAUAGGUCUUGCGAGUCGCCAGAACCACUGCCUUUAAUCAUUGGCACUAUGCCAAGCCCAAGUGGGUAUGGGUUUGGCGAGUUACAAAACCAAUCAUCUUUGGGUUUGGAAGCGCACUGAGUCUAAUUACACAUGAGUUUGACAUGCUAUUAGACUUGUUGACUAUGAGCUUAAUAAUGUGCCUAACAUAAAAAAAGUUUAAGGACUACAGGUCAUUAUAGACCCCAUGUUGGACUAUAAGACUUUGUUUGUUUAUUAUUAUGACUUUAACAUAAAAUGUUAGUGUCAGGGAUAUCUAUCUCCCUACCCCCAUAGAUGUAUAAAAAAUAUCGUAAUGACCUACCAUAUUUCCAUCUUAUUAUUGUGUAAGAGAUAUUUAUCUAUCAUUAAUAUUGUGUAAUGAAUAUUUAUUCAUCAUUAAUGUUAACAGGAGGAAAUGACUCUUUAAACCCUUUACUUUAGCAUAAUGAUAAGGUUUAGGGGUUAUAAAUACUCCCUGAACUUUCCAGGUAAAAGGUUCACAAUAUUAUUCUCUAGACACUAUACUUUUAAAUCUCAGAAUAUUUAUCAUACAAAAACCAAGAACAAACACUCUUGUUUUUGGAUUUAAUGCUCAUUCUCUCAUUUAUUGCUAUUCUAUUCUUAAAAGUUAUUGACUUUAUUAUUUGAGGGUCCAUAAACUCCACCAACAAGAAUUGUUUUGCAGGUGUAAGGCUUUUUACCACUAGUUAUCCACUUUCUAAGUUCUGGAGAACGAAAUAUUGACACAAACAUAUGAUUACCCAUUAUCCAAAUACCAAAAAAUCUCAUUCCUAAGCAUAUUGGAUUUUGAAACGUCAUCAUUUGGCUCCAUUUAUGGGAACAAGUUCAAAAAGCCAUCAACUCUUUUUUAGGUUUGGCUCUUGACCUUUAUGAGCUAGUCUAUGACAAACAAUCAAGAUAUACCUAUGAUGAGAUGUGUCACGGACCUCCCUAUAAUUGUUGGCAUUUCUACCUCAUUAGAACUUCAAAAACUCUUUAAUUAGGUCUGACUCCUUACUGAGGUAGUGCUUUUAAACUAAAUCAAUAACAAUUAUUGAUAGAUUUCUCCUCACCUAUAAAUACAAUUUUGCUUUCAAAACUUCAGAUAUGUUAGGGAUUAAUCCGAAAAUAGUUGCUUAUAGACUUCAAGUCAGUAUAUGAGAGAAAUUUUAGAGGGGAAAUAUAACAUGUAAUAAUUAUAAAAAUGGAUAAACUUUUAGCUACUAGGUUUAUUCAUGAGAUCAUGUAUCUUGAUUGGUUAACUAAUGUGGUCAUGGUGAAAAAAAAGUAUUGGAAAGUAGAGGAUGGGUGUGUAUUUCACUAACUUAAACAAGACAUGUCCAAAUGAUAUUUUUUCUCUCAUAAAGAUUGAUAGAUUGGAAGACUGACUCUAUAAUAGACUUUGAGUUCUUAAGUUUCUUGGAUAUAAUUCAGGGUACCAUCAAAUCCAUAUUUAUCUAGAAUAGAAGGAGAAGACUUAUUUCAUUACUGAAAGAGGAACUUUUUGCUACAAGGCAAUGCCUUUUGGUUUGAAAAAUAUAACGACUACUUAUUAGCAUAUGGUUAAAAAAAUGUUUAAGCAUUAAAUUAGAGGACCAUUUAAAGAUACGUGGAUGACAUGCUAGUGAAUAACAUGAUUUUUGAGCAACAUCUUAAGGAUCUAGAAGACAUAUUUUUUUUUUUGGACAGGUGUUAUAUAAAUCUUAACCUCUUCAAAUAAUAUGUUAACCAUAAGAGGAGGAAAUGUUUUGGAUUUCCUAGUCAACAACAAAGGAAUAAAGUCAACAACAAAGGAAUAAAGUCCGACCCUUAGAAGAUUCAGGCAAUACUGGAUAUAACUCCCCCUUAGAAUGUUUCACUGGAAGACUAGCCGCAAAUUUAUAUGUAGGCUAAGGAAACACAAUCGGUAUUUCUUCAAAGCUUUGAAAAAUAUCAUUAACUUUGAAUGGACACUAGAAUGUAUAAAAAGGUUUUGAAGAGCUCAAAGUGUAUCUUUUCACUCUUAAGAUCUUGUCACAAUCACGAGAAAGUGAGAGUUUGUUCCUCUGCCUUGGGAUUUUUAUUCAGGUAAUUAUUGUGGGGUUCUAAUAGACUAAAACCUAUAUGAUUUUGCCAUAGAACUAUUGGUUUUGAGUUUAUGUGGUUUUGUAGGAAACUUAGAGACCAAGGUGAGGUGUUUUCUACCUUUAGAUCUAUAUAGAAAUGUUUUAAACCCUUGACGGGAACUUUCCAGGGGUUUCUAAGUGGGAGCAUAUGAAAAGUUAGGUGGUUUUCUGUAAACGAGUGUCUUUGUCGAGGUUGAUCGGGGUAGUCACUUUCAUGGCUUCGUCAGAGCAACUCCGACAUCAACGUUGUCUGAGACCACUUGAACUUGGUAAAGAGGGUGCACAUCUUUCAAUCAGAUCCAUUUUUGCUUGAUUUGGAGGUUUGUAUCUCCACAUUCAAACAUUUGAAAGUGUCAACUCAAACAGUGUGGUGAUUGAAAUUGUAAUGCUGGUUGACUAAUGACAAGAUGUUGUGGGGAUCAAUAGAGAAUAAGGGAUGUAAACGUUUGAUUUUAAAGGCAUAUGGUUGUAGAAAUGGUGUUUCUUAGUUGAAUGGUGGUUAUUGCAGCCUUUGGGGUGGUCGAAAACAUCACAUUCAUUCGCCUGAAAAUGCAUACUCGAUCAACCAAAAACGGAAGAAGAAGAUGCACAGUACCUUGAACAAUGCAGUUUUGACUAAUUCUUACAGAUUAAGCUUUUUUUAAUAUAGGAUCUGACAAUUUUUAAUUUAAUUCCUAUUCUUCUGAUUUUGUUUGAUUUUACUUAUAAUUUCCCUCUAACUUUCUAAUUUCGUGCAAUUGCGUCCCUACCAGAUUCAUUUGUUAGCCCUUUUACAAGUUGAUCAUUGAUCUCUGAUUUGUUCAAUUAGACUCUUAGAUGACCACCAAACUUUUAAUUAUCUUUGAUUUGACCCUGAUUUCUCCUGAUUCAAGUCCCUAAAGUCACAUGCGUUUUGCAAGUUGAUUCUUAGUCCACAAAUUAUUCAAUUAAGUCCCCAUUUGCUUACCAGACUUUUUAUUUUAUGCAAUUAAGCCCCUGAUUUGCCUAAUUAAACUUUUCAAAAUCUAACUUUGGUCCUUAAACUUCAUUUGUUUUAAUUGACAUCAAAAUUAACUUUUAAAAGUUAAUUUCCCUUACAAUUAAACCUUCAAUAAUUUUAAUUACACCUUUUAAAAUUUCAAUUGAAUUGUUAAAUACUUAAAACAAAAGUUUUACCAAUAGCCCUAUGAUUAAAAUCUUGGAUUACUAAUUUGGACAUUUUGAUCUAUCAACUUCCACUAGGUGUUCUAGUUUUCUACCAUUAAACUUGAACAAUUUUGUUUUAGAUUGUUCAAAUGUAUUUUCUUGUGUAUAUUUUAUUUAUUUAUUAUUGAAAAGAUAGAAACAAUAUAUAUACAUCAAUUUUGAAACGAUAAUUAUUUAAUCCAUGCUCCUUUUCUUAAACUUUUUUAAUCUUAGAGGUAAGAAAUAACCAAAAAAAAGAGAGGAAACGUCUCCUUUCUCUCUGUUUCUCUCGAUAACUAGGAGAGUAUGGAAACACCUGGAUGGAAUCUUAGUAUCUCCCUCUGUCUCUCUUCUUUGAAACAAAAACCCUAAAAAACUAAAAUCCAAAAAAAAAAAAAUAACACACCAAAAUCCCACUCGAGCCCCACUCUCUCUUCUCUGUCUCUCCCUCUGUCUCUCUUCUUUGAAACAAAAACCCUAAAAAAAUAAAAUCCAAAAAAAUAAAAUAAAAAUAACACACCAAAAUCCCACUCUAGCCCCACUCUCUCUCUCUCCCACUCUAAACAGUCGGUAAUACCUGUCGCCUUCAAAUGUGACUUUUGCACCACUGACAACAUUCAUUUUUCUUUUUCUCUAUAUAAAGACUCGGUUUUUAUUUUUCAAAAAUGACUUCUUCUUCUUCUAUUAAGGAGACAACGGAGGAGGAGCAGGUUCCGCCGGAUAUUGUACCGGCUGACGGUGGUGUUGGUGGAGUGGAGAAGAUUGAGCCUGUCAGUAGUGGGGGAGAGCAAGAGAGUGGUGGUGAGAAACUUGACGAUUCAAUGGAAGAGGACUCAGUGAGUUCGGCUACUGUGUUUUGUAUUAGGCUGAAACAGCCACGGUCGAAUUUGCAGCAUAAAAUGAGUGUGCCUGAGCUUUGUCGCAAAUUUAGGUCAGUUUUAGGUAGUUUAUGAAAUAAUGCAAGUGUUCUAUUCGAUUCUUCAAGUGAGUCGUGUUUGUAUAUGGAAGUUGUUCAGUCUCUAAACUUCGUGGGUUUUAAGCGAAACUUUAUUAAAGGUUUAGUGUUUUCACUCUGUUGAUUGGAGCACAGGCUCGUCUUUUAUUGAAAUUUGAGUUUUUUCUUCUGCAAUUUGAGCUUAUCAGUAAUCGCUAUUGGUUAGGGUUCUUUUACUUAUCAAAAUGUGUUUUUUUGAGUAGUUUUAUGGAAGUUGGGUUUCUUAUUUGUUUAAAUCUUUAGAUACCUGGAGUCCUUCAAGUGGUAUUUAUGCUUUGAUUUUGUUGGUUUUGAUGCUCUGUAGUUAGUGUAGGGAGUAAAAGUGAGUUUAGGACGAGCGAGAAAUCAAGUUUGGAAAAAUAUGAUAGAGAACGAGAUUUUUAGAAUUGAUUGGUGGAUAUGUACAGGAUACAAUGAAGUUAUUUGGUAUAUGCUAUAUAGAAGCUUGCUUUUGUGUUUUGAUUAAAUAUUGAAAAUCACCAUCUUCACACUUGUAUCAGGGUGAUAAAUCUUUCUAUUUCUGCAAUUUCUAGUGUUGACCUAUUAUGAGAAUGGCAUUUUUUGGCAGAAAAAAUAUGCAUUCCUAACAUACGAUCUGCCAUGGGAGGCCAAAAUAGAACAGAAGGUAGCACAACGGGAAAUUGUAGAUUUUACUUGCAGAUUUUCUUAUACAUGCUUUCUAGUUGCUACAGUGUUCUUUCACUCUUACAUUCUCUGGUCAUUCUCAUCUAUUUUACACUCGAAACAUGAUGCCAUAACAAUGAGCGUCACAAACUUGUAGCUACAUGCAGUUGAUUUGUGACAUGGGUAUUGUUAAAACAUGAUACUCCCAAUGUAGGUUUUGAGAUUCUAUUAACAGCUGUCUAAAGUAAAUGAGCUGUUGUUAUUUAGAGCAUCUUUGCUUGUCCAUUCUACCAUUUUACUGGUCUUUACCAAAUUCUUAUUUUCAACGUAUGCUUUUCCAGUGCUGUUGCUUGGUGUGGUAAGCUGAACGCGAUAGCUUGUGCAUCAGAAACUUGUGCAAGAAUUCCCAGGUCAGUGGAUUUUUGGAUUCUAACAUGUUUCAGUUUAAUAGGGGAGAGCAUUGGCUAUACAUUGUUGAGAAUUGGGCUUUCCUAUAAAUACGAUAAUGUGCUUGAGAACAGACGUUGAAACAUGAUUGAUAUUUGCUAUAGUGAACUAUUUCGGGUUCUUCUAAUUAAAAUAUAAGAUUGUACCCAAGAUGGACUCAUAUUUUUUCAAUUAAUAUUUUAAUAUCAUCAUUUGCUAUUUUUUUUUGCAGCUCCAAUGCAAACCCACCAUUUUGGAUCCCCAUACACGUGGUUAUCCCUGAGAGACCAACUGAAUGUGCAGUUUUCAAUGUCAUAGCAGGUAUUUUGAGUCACCUUGCACCGUUUACCAUGUCUUCCUUUUUUUAAGUUUUAAUUAGUCAUGUAUGCCGAGUGUAUUUCAUUCAUCUAUUAAAUGUUAGAUUUCUCACUGAUUUAUUACUUCCCUCUUUCUAUUGGGCUCUAAUUUCCCAUUUUCGAGUUAUUGAAUUGGAUCCCUUUGCAGAUUCUCCUCGUGAUUCUGUUCAGUUUAUCGAAUGGUCCCCUACUUCUUGCCCUCGUGCAUUAUUAAUAGCUAAUUUCCAUGGGAGGAUAACUAUCUGGACUCAACCUUCUCAAGUAAGCUAACUUGAGGAUUGUUUAAGCUAGAUAUAAAAUAAGUAGAUGCCUUUUCCACUCACUUGUUCAUAACAACUAAGCUUUUCAUGGCUUGCUCAACGUAAGAGGUUUGGGGCUGGCCCUGUUUUUGUUUUUACCCAUUGAUCUCUCUCUGUUUAUAUGCAUACCACUUGCUUAUAAUUUUAAAUUCUCUUGUAGCUUACAUCUUAUCUGGUUGUGCAGUGUCCAUCUAAUUUGGUGCGUGAUGCUAGCUGCUGGCAGCGUGAGCAUGAAUGGCGACAGGACAUUGCAGUUGUUACUAAAUGGCUAUCUGGGGUCUCUCCAGUAUGCAGUUAUUAUGUUUUUGUUAUCUGAUUCUUAAAUUAUCCAUGUAUUAUGCUUUGCACAUAGGUUGUGGUGGUUUAGUAGUUAUCUAUAUUUCUCGGUUCUCUAGUUUAUCUCCAUUUUUUUAAAUUUGUGUUGGUAUUUUGUUAUACUUCCGCUGUAGUCCGACUUCUCUUAAAAAAUCAGUACAGGUGGCUUUCGUCAAAGUCCAGUACUCCCACAAACUCAAAGUCAGCUUUUGAGGAAAAAUUCCUUUCUCAGCAUUCUCAAACUUCAGGUUUGUUUUCAUGACUUAUCUUUAUAAGCGUUUGUAGAAGCUCAAGUGAGAGCUUUAAGCCCUGUUCCAUUUUUAGCUUGUAAGGGCCAUGCCUUCUGACUCGCAACUUAACAUCCAGUGAAUUAUAUCAUUUGACUGUUGCUUUGAGAAGAAUAGUUCAGGUUAUUUUCUGAACAGCUGUAAAUUUAGAACAGUAAUUUGGUUGUAGUUUCUGCUAUGGUUUUAUUCAUUACUGGUUGUAGUUUCUGCUAAGAAUUUAUUCAUUAUUGGAUCAACAUCUAACUACUGUAUCGUGAAUGUUCCUAGAAAGAUGAAAUGUAUGUCAAGCACAAAAACUCUUAAUUUAAGAAUUUUUAAUAUCUGCCAUUUUUUGUCCUAAAUACAAGAAUGAACCGGUGCUUUUAACCGACUAUUGACCACUGCUGCUAGUGCUAGGUAUUCCAAUAAUGAUGUUAAUACUUUUGGUUUUCUGUUCUUUCUGCUUUUGAGGUACCUCCACUUGACAUAUUAAAACAGCCCCAAGACCAUCACUAACAUGCUUUCUGUUUUUCUUUCAGCUAGAUGGCCGAAUUUCCUCUGUGUUUGUUCAGUUUUCUCAUCGGGUUGUGUUCAACUUCAUUGGCCCCAGUGGCCCCCUAGCCAGAAUAAUACAUCACUGAAGUGGUUUUGCACGAGCAAAGGACUCUUGGGUGCCGGCCCUAGUGGGAUUAUGGCUGCUGAUGCUAUUAUAACAGAUAGUGGUGCAAUGCAUGUUGCAGGUGUUCCCAUUGUAAACCCUUCAACUGUUGUUGUUUGGGAGGUUACUCCUGGCCCUGGAAAUGGAUUUCAAGCAACUCCAAUGGCGAGUGCUAGCAAUGGGGUCCCGCCUUCAGUUAAGUCACCCAAUUGGUCAGGUUUUGCUCCUUUGGCUGCAUAUUUAUUCAGCUGGCAAGAGCAUCUGAUGUCUGAAACAAUGCGAGGGAAAAAGCAUAUGGAUAAAGAUUUCACCGACACUGUCUCACUUCAUUGUUCGCCAGUUUCAAAUUUUUCUGCAUAUGUGAGUCCUGAGGCUGCAGCUCAAUCUGCAGCAACUACCACUUGGGGUUCUGGAGUCAGUGCCGUUGCUUUUGAUCCGACUCAUGGUGGCUCUGUGAUUGCGGUUGUUAUAGUUGAGGGUACCUACCUGUAUUCUGAAUUCAAAUUUUAUUUUUUGCCUAUUCCAUAUUUUUCCCAUAAGAAAUCCUCUUUCAGUAUGUUUUUAUAUAGUUUGUGUGAUUAUGCUUGUGCAACAGUGUUCUGGGCUCUCUUUCUCCCUCAACUCAAAUUAAUACUCAUAUUCUUACAGAGAUGUGAAGCUAAACUUUCAUGUUCAAGUCAGCUGAAGAUCCCUUUCUAUGCCCACAGUUAUCUGGAUUCAAUAUAAUAAUAACUAGUUUUACGCCUGCAGGACAAUAUAUGUCCCCUUAUGAUCCAGAUGAGGGUCCUUUAAUCACGGGAUGGAGGGUGCAACGAUGGGAAUCGUCCCUUCAACCUGUCGUACUUCAUCCAAUAUUUGGAAAUCCCACUUCUGGUUUUGGUGGGCAGGCACCCGUGCAAACUGUAUGGGUAUCCAAAGUGGAUACAAGCAUACCACCAACUAAUGAUUUUAAAAAUUUCCAAGCAGCUCCUGCAGUACCAAUCUCAGAUGCAAGAAAGGCAUCUGAUUCUGGUUCUGAGAAGACGAAAAGAGUCUCCUUUGAUCCCUCUGAUCUGCCCAGCGAUGUUAGAACUCUUGCUCGAAUUGUUUAUUCUGCUCAUGGUGGCGAGAUUGCUAUUGCUUUUCUGCGGGGUGGAGUUCACAUUUUCUCUGGGCCAAACUUCACACUUGUUGACAACUACCAGAUUAAUGUUGGAUCUGCAAUUGCUGCUCCUGCCUUCUCUUCCACAAGCUGCUGCUCAGCUUCAGUUUGGCAUGACACUAGGAAGGAUCGCAGUAUUGAAGAUAAUUCGUGUUCUUCCUCCUGCUGUUCCAAUUAGUCAGGUGAAGGCUAACUCAGCAAUCUGGGAGCGUGCUAUUGCUGAAAGGUACUUAGUAAGAGUCCUUUGUUUGGGAAUUAGUUUGGAAAUCCACAUGUUAGUGGUUAUGGCAUUUCCUUUUGUUAAAAAUCAGAUGAAGGUUGGAUGUGCAGAUAAUUUCAACAUUCUGGUUGGUCAUGCUGAUAUUGUGUUUUGCCAGAGCAGGUUUUGGUGGAGCCUUUUGGUUGGUGUUGAUUGGUGGGAUGCUGUUGGCUGUACACAGAGUGCUGCUGAGGAUGGCAUCGGUAAGAAUAAUUUGAUUCUCCAGUAUUACCGUGGCUUAUAGAAAAGAAAAAAAUAUAUUGAAGAACAAUUUUUUCCCAAGGAUUCCUAUUCUAGAUUUCUUUGCAAGUAACAUGAAUCCAUGGUAAGAUCUUAUGUUGAUGGCUGGUUCUUCGUUUCUUUUCAGUUUCACUUAACAGUGUCAUUGCAGUCUUGGAUGCUGAUUUUCAUUCUCUUCCCUCUACACAGCACAGGCAGCUGUAUGGCCCUGUAUGUUUUUCUGUGUGAUUACCAUCUCAUCAUUAUUUCUUUUGAGAUAGUCUGUCAUUAUGAUAUUUGGAAUUACAAUAUUGAAAGAACGCAUCUAAUCCUUUUUAUGUUUGCAGUUCCUUUCUCUGAAAUUUUCCAUGUCAACCUCUUUUUAUUAUUUUUUUGGAAAUAGGACGUGCCAUGGUGGCCCAAUCCCCCCCCACCCCCCCAAAAAAAAAAAAAAAAAACAAUUUCUAAUUUUGACAGUUAGCAAGGGCAUCUAGAAUAUUCUAUUGCUGCUAGCCUAGGUCUUGUAAAAUAUUCGACUUGGACUGGACGUAGAAUGGUCUUGUGGCACAUUACAUAAUUUAUGACAUGUAAUGUGCGCCUCAUAAGCAUACAUGGUAUAUCGUUGCACAUUAUAACCCAAAAAUCCCAUGCAAGACAUGCAUCACAAUCAAAUUAGGAAAUAAGAUAAAACAGCAUACUUUAAUUCUCAUCCCACUUGAUUAACCUAUGACAUUGCUUUUCCUUUAAUUUUGUGGUGACAAUUCAAAGCUCCUGUUACUGGCUGUCCCAUUUUCUAGAAUGCAUUUGGCUGGGCAAGUAAACUUGUUUUUUAAUGAUGCAGAGUCUGGACAGGAUAAAAUGUAGGCUACUGGAAGGUACAAAUGCUCAGGAGGUUAGGGCAAUGGUUCUUGACAUGCAAGCCAGGUUGCUGCUUGAUAUGCUCGGCAAAGGCAUUGAGUCAGCUUUGAUAAAUCCUUCAGCAUUAGUACCUGAACCAUGGCAGGCUUCUGGCGAGACAUUAUCUGGCAUUGAUCCUGAAGCAAUGACUGUUGAGCCAAACCUUGUUCCGAAUAUUCAGGUUUGCUCUUUUCUCUCUAUUAUCUCAUGUUAAGUUUUGGGUCCUGUUGAAGUUUUUAGUACGGAAGAUCUACUCCUACCAGCAAUAUGUGGCUUACUCAUGGCCUGAUUGCCAGUGAUAAGAUGCCUAUAUCUGAUACAUUAAAUGUGUGAUGAUGGUUGAAUGGCUUGGGCUGUACCUUGGCUUUUAUGGCCUGGAAACUGAUGCCUGAACAAACAAUAUAUGUGUGGCAGUUUAGGCUUGAUAGUCUGCUGUAUCCAAGCACUCAGACUGAGCUGGUUGGAUAUUUCCCUGCCUCCAGUCAGCUCAAACUUCUGCCCUUGUUGAUGCAGGUUUAUUUGUUAAUUUUCUCUAACUGUGUUAAUUUCAUGCAGGCUUAUGUUGAUGCAGUUCUUGAUCUAGCUUCACAUUUUAUCACACGUCUACGGCGUUAUGCAAGUUUCUGUCGCACACUGGCCAGUCACGCGGUUACAGCAGGCGCAGGCAGUAACCGCAAUACGGUGACUAGUCCUUCUCAAAGUUCGGCAUCGCCCGCACCAAAUCAGGGUUAGUAUGCAGUGUCUAGUGUUCAUCUUUAUAAAGGAGAAAGAUAAAAUUCCUUUAUUCCAUAAUUUUGUGUUUGCUAAGUUUUGUGGUGUCCACCUUCAAAAGCUUGUGGAGUCCUGUAAUAUGAGCUUUACUGCUUAAGAGGUUACUGCCAUAGUCUCUGGGAAAAUUCCAUAAAAACUCUUAUAUUCUUUCUCUCACUCUCUAAUGGUUAUUAUGUUUAACACAGUUUUCUAAUGCAUUUUCUCCAGGUGGUCAAAGUGGCGGUACAAGUUCUACUGGAAGCACUCAGAUGCAAGCUUGGGUACAAGGUGCCAUUGCUAAGAUUAGUAGCACAACUGAUGGAGUGUCCACUGCAACACCAAACCCCAUAAGUGGUCCAUCUUCUUUCAUGCCAAUAAGCAUCAAUACUGGAACUUUUCCUGGAACCCCAGCAGUGAGGCUCAUCGGUGACUGCCAUUUCCUUCACAGAUUAUGCCAGCUUCUGCUUUUCUGUUUUUUCUUUCGGCGAACUCAACUACCUCGCUUUGCCGGAGGUACACAGAGAAAUCCCACUGAUACAAAUGUGCAAAAACCUCAGUCUGGUGCUCCUGGCAAGGUGGAGGAGAUCAACUCUGUUUCUUCAAAGCCAGCACCAGCUGUGGUCAGGUCGGAUGAAG